UGCAACUGUAAUUACAAUUUUAUGCAAUAUUAAACUUGAACCACACUACAGGGUAGCUACUGUCUCAAGAUUCAUUACGAGGUGGAAUUCAAAUUCAGGCUUACACAUUCUAUUAACUGCUGCAGUACCAAAAUACUACCAAGGAGGAAGAAACACCACAAAGAACAAAACGGUCUAAGUUGUCCUGUCUCACUUCACUUUUUGAAGUCACAAGCUUGCUCCUCCACAUAAAUACAACUGAGCUGAAAAAAAAUAAAACCAGAGCUCCCAGUAACAAAACUCCAUAGAUGUUACAUAAUAAAAAUAUUUGUUCAGAGCGUGAAUUAAAUCGUUGUGAACCAUUGUGCAAUGUGAAAGGGAAAAGGGGAGGGCUGUCAUUUCAAGGUUUGCACUUCACUCAGGAAGACAAUACAGCACCUAGGUAGCUGUUUCCUACCACAUCUUGAAACACUGUAUUUAAAUACAGUGGUUACAGCAUCUCUGAAGAACAUGCCCAGAGCUGUUUGUCUUUAAACUAUUUAAAACUGUUGAGGAGGUCUGCGGAAAGGAAAACAAAACCAGAAAGACAACAGAAACAAAGAAGAACAAAAAAAAAGAAUCAAUCCUUAUUCCAGAAACACCUUUAUCUCAUCACUUAGCAUUUCCUCUUGUACCUAGGUUUAGCUUCUGUCCAUAGGUCAGAGAGCUGAGUCACUUCCCUGCCAGCCCCACAGCAACUUGUGAGCUAAUUUUCAGUGUGACACCCUGUUUCCUAUUGAAGAUUCUCCAGAACACAUAACUACUGCAAGGAAACAGCAGACUCUGAAGGAUAGCUGCUACUGUACAAGAAGCUCACAGACAUCAGCUGACUCUCUGCAGUCCAUGCAGGAGCUUCAGAGACCUGUGGGAAACGCCAUUUUUAGAUGGACUGAGUGAAAGGGUUGGUCCUGCACCACUCAGAAGAGUCAGACUACCUCGAACUACCAACUAGCUCUCCUUUGGAAAGCAAAGGAUUUUACACAUGGAAGGCACAUGCCCUGUCCCUCAUUCUCAUCAUUGUGUAAAAAGGGUAGAGAUGAAAAGCCUGACAUGUUUUGUUUCAGGACUUUUUUUCUGAAGAAUCCUAAUGUACACAUUUCUCAGAUGUCAGCUGUUGAAGCUAAACCAAGCCAGUUGAACAAGUCUUAAAAGCUCUUGCUGCAAUUUUAAAUAUCAUAGUUCUGUACAUCAAAACAGAAGGGACACGGUAGCAGCCAGUGAGAAUAGAAUAGCCACUGGGACGGGACUGGCUUUCCACAUUAAAAUUCACUUUUUGGAUAUUUAAUUCAGUUACAAGCUGCAGACCAUCUCCUGAGACAACAUCUCUGGAAUUUAAUUCUCCAAGAUCUCCUGUGCUUCUCCAUUGGCAGAGCAGUGGAAAGCUUAAGCAUCAAAGCCACCUCCUGAGCUCUGGUAUGAGAUCAGUAGAGGGACACUAAGAUCUCUGAUAAAACAGUUCUUUCAAAACAGGUCAGAUGCAAUACUCUGAUGUCUUUGACUACUUCAAUACAAGAAGUUUACACUGUGGCUUUAAGUUCCCCAGUAAUUCCAUCCUGAAACAGCCCCCACCAAUGCAGUAAUUUCAUUAUUUCCAUGAAGCCUCGGUUUAGGAGUCUCUUGGGAGGAGGAGGAACAGUGCGCCCAACAGCAGCGAGGAGCUACAAGCAGAACGCCUUUCAGCAAGUGCCAGGGGUGUUCCAUUUACCGGGGCCAUAAGGAGUUCACGUCACAGGGCAUUUGCCAGCAGUUUCAUGAUCACUGGCAUGCACAGCAAGGGUGCGUCUCACCAUUGAAGCAACAAGCUGUUAAAGUGUGUGACUCAUCUCACAGCAACGUUUUCUGCCUUCCGAGAGGAGAGCAGCCUGCAAUGAGCAACGCUGAUAAGAUGCAUAUUCAGAGGAAUUCUAUUUGGGCAAAAAGCUAUUGACACAUUCAAACCCCUAUAUACAGAAGCCUGCCCAAAUGCUGACUGAAACACAUGAACACACACAUUGCAAUAUUGCAGUAUUGUGAGCACUCCAGAGGAACAGUUUCCAGUCAAAAGCACGGUCCUGUCUGUCACCACUUUCUGCUACCAUGGCACAUCAGAAGACAACAGUUCUGCUGUAAGGAUUGAAGAUUGCAGUCUUAUUUCUCAAGAGUGACUGCAUAACCAAAGGCCAAAAGAAACAGCCAAAGUCUGGACAGACAAUUAAAGGAAUUUUACAAGUCGUCAAGCAAUCAGAGGGCUGUAAAUGUAUAAUCAACACUUUGCAUAAACUACCCUGAAAUGAAUGCUCAUGAGAUGCUCACUGUGGCAGUGAGAACAAGAUAAAAACCUAUAAAUAAAA